UACGGGGGGGGCAAGCGUUGUUCGGAAUUACUGGGCGUAAAGGGCCCGUAGGCGGCCAACUAAGUCGGAUGUGAAAUCCCCAGGCUCAACUUGGGAACUGCAUCCGAUACUGGAUGGCUUGAAUUCGGGAGAGGGAUGCAGAAUUCCAGGUGUAGCGGUGAAAUGCGUAGAUAUCUGGAGGAAUACCGGUGGCGAAGGCGGCAUCCUGGACCGACAUUGACGCUGAACGGCGAAAGCUAGGGGAGCAAACGGG
rnacentral:rRNA from 1 species